rnacentral:rRNA from 1 species
UGCCAGCCGCCGCGGUAAUACGGAGGGAGCUAGCGUUGUUCGGAAUUACUGGGUAUAAAGGGUGCGUAGGCGGCCUGUUAAGUCAGGGGUGAAAUAUGACGGCUCAACCGUCAAACUGCCCCUGAAACUGAUAGGCUUGAGUUCGAGAGAGGUUGGUGGAAUUCCUGGUGUAGCGGUGAAAUGCGUAAAUAUCAGGAGGAACACCGGUGGCGAAGGCGGCCAACUGACUCGAUACUGACGCCCAGGCACGCAAGCAUGGGGAGCAAACAGGAUUAGAUA